AAGCUAUGCAGGUGGUGGUGUUAUGGUAUGGGCAGGCAGUUCUAUGGUCGGUCGCGAAAACAUCUUCAUCGAGGCUUCCCUAACGGCUGCCCGAUACAUUAAAGUUGUGAUAUCAUAAGAAGUUGUUCCUUUUAUGCCACCAAUUAGCGAGGUUUUGUUUUUAAUCAAGAUAUUCAUGCUAGGAUCGUUGGAACUUGGAUAUCUAUCUUUUCUUUGUUGGUUUUUCAGUAAAGCUUCAUUCUAACGUUCUGGUGGUUUGAUUUUUUUAAGGUAGAUCAUUUUUAAGUUUCGAAUUUGUUUGAGCGAUGGUUUUAAGUUAUGCAGACAAAAGAGAAAUCGCGGUUAUUUGAAGAGAGGGAGUAAGAUUAUCAAGGGUAUUGGUAGGAGGUUGCGAACAAGAAUUCCUGUCCCGCCAUGGGCUAUUCCAUCGGGAUAGUUAGUCGUGCAAUUUGAGUAGCCUGGGAUGUAAAAUCGCGAUCUGUCAGUAAAAUGAGUUUCUGGUAUCGUAUGGCUAGUCCGUUGGCGUUUCAUAGGAGCAGAGUAAGAGAGUUGUUGAGUGAGGGCCAUUUAAGAAGAGAGUUUGGGAAGGAGACUAUUUACAACUGUAGUUAAUUUGAGCAAUAGUGGUGCUGUUUUGCAUGACUUAUGUGGGAGUAAUGGGAACAGGACAGGAGACUGAAGGCUGAGUGAACCUCGCGACUAACCGUGCAAAUGGUACGUUAUUAUUGAAAAGAGAUGAUCUAGUGUAAGACGGAUCAUUGCUGUUGAGGUGUCUGCAAAGUUCUCCCUCGAAUGGAAAUCUUUAUACUGGAUACAUCCUUUAUAGUUGGCCGGAUGCUGUCCAUUACACAGUGCGGUAGUUUGCUUCCUGCAGUCUUGAGUGGAGUGAUCACCAGCACAUUUAACACACUUUGGUUUGUGAUGGCAAUAUCCUCUUCAAUGGCCGUAUUCUUGACAUCUUCGCACUGUCCUAUCAGACACUGUUUAGAGAGUUGUUGAGUGAGAGCCAUUUAAGAAGAGAGUUUGGGAAGGAGACUAUUUACAACUGUAGUUAAUUUGAGAAAUAGUGGUGUUGUUUUGCAUGACUUAUGUGGGAGCAGUGGGAACAGUGAACACUCUUCGAGCUUAACUCAGUAACAGAAGGUCUCAAUAUCGAAAAUGUUUUUAUUGUUUGGUUUCGGCUCCAGGUCCACGACGAACAGUGGUCAUGUCUGUUUUGUGAUCGAGUGUUUCACUGGCGAUACGUUCCUUAAAGAAUGAAUUAUUUCCAUUAAUUCUUCUAUAAUGCCAUUGAGUGGCACACUUUGGUGAAAGUUGCGAAUGGCCACUCUGUAUGGCUUGUCGUCUUGCAGUUCGAAGGUACGGUAAUCAGCAUUAUAUUCUUUAUUGUAAUGAAGGUUUCCCUACAAGCCGUAAAAGGGCACCAGGGAAAAUAGCAUAUUACUUAACAUUAUUUACAUACAGGUGGUUGAUUAUGUGUGGCUACUUUUGUUGCAGGUGGUGUCUCCAUUUUAAUUUGGCAAUGAUAAAGGGCCAAACGGAUUAUUGGUUAAUAUUCCCUGGAGAGCAAUAACUACCGAACAUUGAGAUGAGGUCCUUGAGUACUACCAGCUGAUACUUUAAAUGUCGAUAGUCUGGCUGGUGUAACGGUUGAUGGUAUUGAGAAGUAGCUUCCUGAAUAUUUCUUUUUGCUUCUUCUUUUACUUCUUUUUUCUUGGAAAAAAUUGUCCAUUUCUGAAGUUCUUUUUGGUGCGUUUACCGAGGAUGUCGAUGACUAGUGUAGUGUCGGCUCCAAUAUCUACAUUUUGGUUAAUUUUUUGUUUUGUUUUUGUUCAAGAGAAUCGUCCCUCAGUGCAAUCGUGCAAAAUGAAAAAUAAUAAAUGAUGAGUAACAAAUAAGUAUAGUUUUGCACAAUAUAAGGUGCUUAACAAAGGUCGAUCGGCACGAAGAAACCCGAGGAUGAACUCUGCUCGAAAACGCCAUAUGUCGGACGUAAAAUUGCGUUCGAGGCACUAAGACCAUUAAGACCCGAGUCAUCCCGACCAGAAGGAAUAAAAGGCACCGGCGUUUGAAACUAUAAAAACGAAAUGUAUUUGUCCAUUUCCCAUUUUAUGGGUGCACAAUUAGCUAAGAGGCCUUCUGAAGAACACGUCUCCAAGUUUACCCGAAUGGCUUUCUUCUAAAACCGCACUCUUCAUUCAAUGUCAGUCUCACGAGCAAACACUGGGAUGUAGCAAAGUGGAAGACGAAAGUAACCCUUCCCCUAAAUGUACAUCAGCCCGUUAAUGGAGGGAUUUAGUGGAGCCAGACCAAUCUUCACUGAUGGACUAAUUUUGUUAUCGAUAUAUAAAAACAUAAUAGGCUUAUUUUGAUGAACACGGAGCAAAAGUUUCUUGCGUACCCACACGAUGAUCUAUGACCUGACAAACUCUCCCAACAAGUUUCCUGCCUACUCGGUCUACAACGCUCUCCAAUUCCUGCAGCCAAUAAGAUCUUUUGGUCAAUACUGGACCAAAUACACGAAAAACACGCGAUUUAGACGAACUGGAUGGAAUUUCAGGCCCAAAAUGCUGAAAAGACCGUUUGACUGAAGUUUUAACUGAACGCCUUGUUCUUCUUCCAUUAGUUCUCAUUGAGUCAGCGUUUCCCAGGAUAACAUUCUUGCUGCCUUACUUUAUCCGAGAAGGAACAGAAUAGAAUUAUUACAUGUAGAGAAUUUAGUGUAAAGAAGGCACGUCGACAUUCCGCAUGACCUAUGUGCAGCUUUGGAACAGGUCGUUGAUCACAUAUCUCAAAGUCAUGAAUAUUUUUCACUUAUAUAGAUAUUUGUUAUUACAUGUUAUUUGAAUUGA